GGAUAAUGACGACUACAUGUGAUAAGGUCUCGUUCGUCGUAAUGGUGAUGAAUAAUCACCUUGCCGACCACUCUGUUAUAUCACCACCCAUAAACUGAAUCC